UAGGGAAUCUUCCGCAAUGGGCGAAAGCCUGACGGAGCAACGCCGCGUGAGUGAUGAAGGUCUUCGGAUCGUAAAACUCUGUUAUUAGGGAAGAACAAAUGUGUAAGUAACUAUGCACAUCUUGACGGUACCUAAUCAGAAAGCCACGGCUAACUACGUGCCAGCAGCCGCGGUAAUACGUAGGUGGCAAGCGUUGUCCGGAUUUAUUGGGCGUAAAGCGAGCGCAGGCGGUCAAUUAAGUCUGAUGUGAAAGCCCCCGGCUCAACCGGGGAGGGUCAUUGGAAACUGGCUGACUUGAGUGCAGAAGAGGAGAGUGGAAUUCCAUGUGUAGCGGUGAAAUGCGUAGAUAUAUGGAGGAACACCAGUGGCGAAGGCGACUCUCUGGUCUGUAACUGACGCUGAGGUUCGAAAGCGUGGGUAGCAAACAGG
rnacentral:rRNA from 1 species